rnacentral:rRNA from 1 species
CCUACGGGAGGCAGCAGUGAGGAAUAUUGGUCAAUGGACGAGAGUCUGAACCAGCCAAGUAGCGUGAAGGAUGACUGCCCUAUGGGUUGUAAACUUCUUUUAUAUGGGAAUAAAACGUUCCACGUGUGGGAUUUUGUAUGUACCAUAUGAAUAAGGAUCGGCUAACUCCGUGCCAGCAGCCGCGGUAAUACGGAGGAUCCGAGCGUUAUCCGGAUUUAUUGGGUUUAAAGGGAGCGUAGCUGGAUUGUUAAGUCAGUUGUGAAAGUUUGCGGCUCAACCGUAAAAUUGCAGUUGAAACUGGCAGUCUUGAGUACAGUAGAGGUGGGCGGAAUUCGUGGUGUAGCGGUGAAAUGCUUAGAUAUCACGAAGAACUCCGAUUGCGAAGGCAGUUCACUGGACUGCAACUGACACUGAGGCUCGAAAGUGUGGGUAUCAAACAGGAUUAGAUACCCUUGUAGUC